rnacentral:rRNA from 1 species
AACGAACGCUGGCGGCGUGCCUAACACAUGCAAGUCGAGCGAGAAAGUCCCUUCGGGGGCGAGUAAAGCGGCGGACGGGUGAGUAAUACAUGGAUAAUCUUCCCUCGAGCCUGGGAUAACCCUGCGAAAGUGGGGCUAAUACCGGAUAAGACCACAUGACACAUGUCACGGGGUAGAAGGUGGCUUGUAUUUAUAUGAGCUAUCACUUGAGGAUGAGUCCAUGGCCUAUCAGCUAGUUGGUGAGGUAAGAGCUUACCAAGGCUCCGACGGGUAGCCGGCCUGAGAGGGUGGCCGGCCACACUGGGACUGAGACACGGCCCAGACUCCUACGGGAGGCAGCAGUAGGGAAUAUUAGUAAUGGGCGAAAGCCUGAACUAGCAACGCCGCGUGUGCGAAGAAGGCCUUGGGUUGUAAGACACUUUAGUAGAGGAUGAGGAAGGAACGGUACUCUCAGAAUAAGUACUCGGCUAACCUACGUGCCACGCAGCCGGCGGUAAACUGU